rnacentral:tRNA from 1 species
ACUGAAGUAGUCUACACAAGACAUCUAACUUCGACUUAGAAGACCUAAUAUUAAGCUUCAGC